AUUGAACGCUGGCGGCAGGCCUAACCCAUGCAAGUCGCGCGAGCGGCGGACGGGUGAGUAAUGUAUGGGGACUGCCCGAUAGAGGGGGAUAACUACUGGAAACGGUGGCUAAUACCGCAUAAUAUCGGAUAACACAAAUGGGAUUAGCUAGUAGGGGGGGUAAAGGCUAACCUAGGCGACGAUCUCUAGCUGGUCUGAGAGGAUGAUCAGCCACACUGUGACGGAGACACGGCCCAGACUCCUACGGAGGCAGCAUUGGUGAAUAUUGCACAAUGGUCGCAAGCCUGAUGCAGCCAUGCCGCGUGUAUGAAGAAGGCCUUAGGGUUGUAAAGUACUUUCAGCGGGGAGGCGUUACCCGCAGAAGAAGCACCGGCUAACUCCGUGCCAGCAGCCGCGGUAAUAC
rnacentral:rRNA from 1 species